rnacentral:misc_RNA from 1 species
CCCCCGGGUUUCUGGGGUUGUUUGGACUUGGGCGUUUGCCAUCACCCGGCUCGCCUCAAAUGGCUUAGUGGGACCCUGCCCGCGUUGGGAAUGAUAAGUUUCUUCCUUUGACGUGGAUUGGGCACCGCUCACAACCAUGUGCCUUGGCACACUUUUUUGACUCUGACCUCAGAUCAGGUAGGGCUACCCGCUGAACUUAA